rnacentral:rRNA from 1 species
UAAAAUGAGAGUUUGAUCCUGGCUCAGGACGAACGUUGGCGGCGUGCCUAAUACNUGCNAGUCGAACGAAGUCGCCNAAUUGAUUCUUAGUGCUUGCACUNAGAUGAUUUUGGAUCCGACUGAGUGGCGAACUGGUGAGUAACACGUGGGUAACCUGCCCAGAAGAAGGGGAUAACACCUGGAAACAGAUGCUAAUACCGUAUAACAACAAGAACCACAUGGUNNUNNUUUGAAAGCUGGCCUUUGUGCUNGUGCUUCUGGAUGGACCCGCGGCGUAUUAGCUAGUUGGUGAGA